AUUUGACUGAAGUGUGAAGAGGGGUGUGUAUAGGAGACAUGCUGAGAAUUCCAAAUAGAGGAACCAGCGGCAUGAUGUCACACACCUGUUUGGCUGGAGGCUGUGGCCUGGCGACGCUCGAAGCCGUGGGUGUCGCGUUGGCACCCCUCUUUUCCCCCUUGUCGCUGCCUGCUACGCCCCGUGGAUGUGUCAAAAUGGCAGAUGAUGGUUGGGGUGUGUGCAGCUGCUUGGGAAGAGGAGUGCCAAGGGCGCUCAUUUCCUGCGGAAACUCUUGGAAGGCAAAAGCAACAUCCUGAGUUGGUGAGGAGACAGGAGAGGUGCUGACAUGCCGACAGGCAGGGGAUCCUGGGAAAAGCCACAGACAGGAAGAGCCUGACUGACUUUGACCCCCGGGGUCAAGGCUGGGGGCUCGGCAACUGAAAGAUGUUUCCAAGCCACGCUCAGACUAUCGCGGCGUUUUACAGGAAAUAGCUCCAAAAUUACUGUAUGCUGUUAAAAUGUGGGAGAUCUUUUAUUGCUCGCUCUUUUGUUUUUGUUCUUUGUGACAUAAAAUGUGUUUUGGCCCUGAGCUAUAUUUGAC